rnacentral:rRNA from 1 species
GGGGAAUAUUGCACAAUGGGCGAAAGCCUGAUGCAGCAACGCCGCGUGAGUGAUGAAGGUCUUCGGAUUGUAAAGCUCUGUCUUCUGGGACGAUAAUGACGGUACCAGAAGAGGAAGCCACGGCUAACUACGUGCCAGCAGCCGCGGUAAUACGUAGGUGGCGAGCGUUGUCCGGAAUUACUGGGCGUAAAGGGUGCGUAGGCGGAUGUUUAAGUGAGAUGUGAAAUACCCGGGCUUAACCUGGGAGCUGCAUUUCAAACUGGAUAUCUGGAGUGCAGGAGAGGAGAACGGAAUUCCUAGUGUAGCGGUGAAAUGCGUAGAGAUUAGGAAGAACACCAGUGGCGAAGGCGGUUCUCUGGACUGUAACUGACGCUGAGGCACGAAAGCGUGGGUAGCAAAC